AAAUGGAAAAAUGCUGAGGA
rnacentral:misc_RNA from 1 species